GCUGAUGACAUCAGAUCCUGUAAGUGUAUAUAAGAAACGCUCAGCAUUCAGAGCAACACGACAACAACCUCCUUCACCAGGCAGUUUGCUGAAGUUCUGAAGUCUUGAAGGUCCGAUCACUGUAACCAUGCUGAAGGUCGCUCUUGUUCUUGGAUGCCUCCUGAGCCUCGCUCUGGCUCAGCCUAUGAAGGCAGCACACAAACGAGUUGCUCGGUCAGUCUCUAGCUCUGACUCUAACUCUGGCUCU